AUUGAACGCUGGCGGCAGGCCUAACACAUGCAAGUCGAGCGGUAGCACAGAGAGCUUGCUCUCGGGUGACGAGCGGCGGACGGGUGAGUAAUGUCUGGGAAACUGCCUGAUGGAGGGGGAUAACUACGGAAACGGUAGCUAAUACCGCAUAAUGUCGCAAGACCAAAGUGGGGGACCUUCGGGCCUCAUGCCAUCAGAUGUGCCCAGAUGGGAUUAGCUAGUAGGUGGGGUAACGGCUCACCUAGGCGACGAUCCCUAGCUGGUCUGAGAGGAUGACCAGCCACACUGGAACUGAGACACGGUCCAGACUCCUACGGGAGGCAGCAGUGGGGAAUAUUGCACAAUGGGCGCAAGCCUGAUGCAGCCAUGCCGCGUGUGUGAAGAAGGCCUUCGGGUUGUAAAGCACUUUCAGCGGGGAGGAAGGCGUUAAGGUUAAUAACCUUGUCGAUUGACGUUACCCGCAGAAGAAGCACCGGCUAACUCCGUGCCAGCCGCCGCUGUAA
rnacentral:rRNA from 1 species